GACGCUCAACAGAAUAAACACACUUGAGACAUCAAAGAAAUAUCAUAUUAAGAGAACUGUUCAGAAAAGUGGUGAAGACUGGCAGUCCAAAAUCAAGGUUGGUGUAUGGUGAAGCCUCUUCUCCUGGCUUUCAGAUCUCCAGCUUCUGUGCCCUUGCAUGGCUUUCUUUGGUGUGAAUGCCACGAAAAGAGCGAGUCUGGUAUCUCUUUCUCUUCUUAUAAAAACACCAGUCUUAUCAGAUUAGGGCUCCCUAAUUACUGGAACUUAUAAAUGUUACCUUCUAAGGAAAAAGAGUCUUUGCAGAUAUAAUUAAAUUAAAGAUCUUUA
rnacentral:lncRNA from 1 species